rnacentral:rRNA from 1 species
GUUGUAUAGUCAAGUGAGUAAGUGCACACGGUGGAUGCCUUGGCAGUCAGAGGCGAAGAAAGACGUGACAGCCUGCGAAAAGCGUCGGGGAGGCGGCAAUAUCCUGUGAUCCGGCGAUAUCUGAAUGGGGAAACCCACUUGCCAGAAGGCAAGUAUCGUAACUAAUACGAAGCGAACCGGGAGAAGUGAAACAUCUCAGUACCCCGAGGAAAAGACAUCAAAAGAGAUUCCCCCAGUAGCGGCGAGCGAACGGGGAGGAGCCGACGAAUUUAGACGUAGAGGAAUCACCUGGAAAGGUGAAUCAUAGAGGGUGACAAUCCCGUACUCGAAACGUUUAGAUAAGCAUAUUAAGUAGAGCGGGACACGAGAAAUCCUGUUUGAAGAUGGGGGGACCAUCCUCCAAGGCUAAAUACUCCUGACUGACCGAUAGUGAACCAGUACCGUGAGGGAAAGGCGAAAAGAACCCCUGUGAGGGGAGUGAAAUAGAACCUAAAACCGUGUGCAUACAAGCAGUGGGAGCCGAGAGGUGACCGCGUACCUUUUGUAUAAUGGGUCAGCGACUUAUAUUCUGUAGCGAGGUUAACCGAAUAGGGGAGCCGCAGGGAAACCGAGUCUUAAUAGGGCGUACAGUUGCAGGGUAUAGACCCGAAACCGAGUGAUCUAUCCAUGAGCAGGUUGAAAGUGACGUAACAGUCACCGGAGGACCGAACCCACUCCCGUUGAAAAGGUAGGGGAUGACUUGUGGAUAGGGGUGAAAGGCUAAUCAAACUCGGUGAUAGCUGGUUCUCCCCGAAAGCUAUUUAGGUAGCGCCUCGGACGGACACCAUGGGGGGUAGAGCACUGUUUCGGCUAGGGGGUCAUCCCGACUUACCAAACCGAUGCAAACUGACGAAUACCCAUGAGUGAUAUCCGGGAGACAGACGGCGGGUGCUAACGUCCGUCGUCAAGAGGGAAACAACCCAGACCGCCAGCUAAGGCCCCAAAUUUCUAGUUAAGUGGGAAACGAUGUGGGAAGGCAUAGACAGCUAGGAGGUUGGCUUAGAAGCAGCCACCCUUUAAAGAAAGCGUAAUAGCUCACUAGUCGAGUCGGCCUGCGCGGAAGAUGUAACGGGGCUCAAACUAGGAGCCGAAGCUGCGGAUUUAAUUGUUUCAAUUAAGUGGUAGGGGAGCAUUGUGUAAGUCUGAGAAGGUGUGUUGUAAAGCAUGCUGGAGAUAUCACAAGAGCGAAUGCUGACGUGAGUAACGACAAAACGGGUGAAAAGCCCGUUCGCCGGAAGACCAAGGGUUCCAGUCCAACGUUAAUCGGGGCUGGGUGAGUCGACCCCUAAGGUGAGGCCGAAAGGCGUAAUCGAUGGGAAAUUGGUUAAUAUUCCAAUACUUGUUUAAGAUGCGAUGGAGGGACGAAGAAGGUUAUGCCAGCCUAGUGAUGGUUAUCUAGGUGGAAGGGUGUAGGUAGGUUUAGUAGGCAAAUCCGCUGAACUAAUACCAAGACCUGAUAGCAAGCCGCAAGGCGAAGUGGCAAAUACCAUGCUUCCAAGAAAAGCUUCUAAGCGAUAGUUUUAAACGAAUCGUACCCGAAACCGACACAGGUGGUCAGGUAGAGAAUACCAAGGCGCUUGAGAGAACUCUGCUGAAGGAACUAGGCAAAAUGGUACCGUAACUUCGGGAGAAGGUACGCUGCCGAUGGUGAGUGGACACGCUUCACAAAGCUAUUGGCAGUCGCAGAUACCAGGUCGCUGCAACUGUUUAUUAAAAACACAGCACUCUGCAAACACGAAAGUGGACGUAUAGGGUGUGAUGCCUGCCCGGUGCUGGAAGGUUAAUUGAUGGGGUUAGCGCAAGCGAAGCCCUUGAUCGAAGCCCCAGUAAACGGCGGCCGUAACUAUAACGGUCCUAAGGUAGCGAAAUUCCUUGUCGGGUAAGUUCCGACCUGCACGAAUGGCAUAAUGAUGGCGACGCUGUCUCCAGCAGAGACUCAGUGAAAUCGAAAUCGCAGUGAAGAUGCUGUGUACCCGCGGCUAGACGGAAAGACCCCGUGAACCUUUACUACAGCUUUACAUUGAACUUUGACCUUACCUGUGUAGGAUAGGUGGGAGGCUAUGAAGCAUGCACGCCAGUGUGUGUGGAGCCGACCUUGAAAUACCACCCUGGUAAUGUUGGGGUUCUAACUUCGGAUUAACAGAUCCAAGGACAAUGUAUGGUGGGUAGUUUGACUGGGGCGGUCUCCUCCUAAAGAGUAACGGAGGAGUACGAAGGUGCGCUCAGAACGGUCGGAAAUCGUUCAAAGAGUAUAAAGGCAGAAGCGCGCUUAACUGCGAGACCCACAAGUCGAGCAGGUACGAAAGUAGGUCUUAGUGAUCCGGUGGUUCUGUAUGGAAGGGCCAUCGCUCAACGGAUAAAAGGUACUCUGGGGAUAACAGGCUGAUACCGCCCAAGAGUUCAUAUCGACGGCGGUGUUUGGCACCUCGAUGUCGGCUCAUCUCAUCCUGGGGCUGAAGCAGGUCCCAAGGGUAUGGCUGUUCGCCAUUUAAAGAGGUACGCGAGCUGGGUUUAGAACGUCGUGAGACAGUUCGGUCCCUAUCUACCGUGGGCGUUGGAAAUUUGAGAGGAUCUGCUCCUAGUACGAGAGGACCAGAGUGGACGAACCUCUGGUGGUUCGGUUGUCACGCCAGUGGCACAGCCGAGUAGCUAUGUUCGGAUGGGAUAACCGCUGAAAGCAUCUAAGCGGGAAGCCCACCUCAAGAUGAGAUUUCCCCAAAGAGCCGUUCUAGACCAGGACGUUGAUAGGUUGGGUGUGGAAGUGCAGCGAUGCAUGGAGCUAACCAAUACUAAUUGCUCGUUUGACUUGACUAUACAAC